rnacentral:rRNA from 1 species
UUAAGCAAUCUAUACGGUGAAACUGCGAAUGGCUCAUUAAAUCAGUUAUCGUUUAUUUGAUAGUACCUUACUACAUGGAUAACCGUGGUAAUUCUAGAGCUAAUACAUGCUAAAAACCCCGACUUCGGAAGGGGUGUAUUUAUUAGAUAAAAAACCAGCGCCCUUCGGGGCUCCUUGGUGAUUCAUAAUAACUCAACGAAUCGCAUGGCCUUGCGCCGGCGAUGGUUCAUUCAAAUUUCUGCCCUAUCAACUUUCGAUGGUAGGAUAGUGGCCUACCAUGGUAUCAACGGGUAACGGGGAAUUAGGGUUCUAUUCCGGAGAGGGAGCCUGAGAAACGGCUACCACAUCCAAGGAAGGCAGCAGGCGCGCAAAUUACCCAAUCCCGACACGGGGAGGUAGUGACAAUAAAUACUGAUACAGGGCUCUUUUGGGUCUUGUAAUUGGAAUGAGUACAAUUUAAAUCCCUUAACGAGGAACAAUUGGAGGGCAAGUCUGGUGCCAGCAGCCGCGGUAAUUCCAGCUCCAAUAGCGUAUAUUAAAGUUGUUGCAGUUAAAAAGCUCGUAGUUGAACCUUGGGCCUGGCUGGCCGGUCCGCCUCACCGCGUGUACUGGUCCGGCCGGGCCUUUCCUUCUGGGGAGCCGCAUGCCCUUCACUGGGCGUGUCGGGGAACCAGGACUUUUACUUUGAAAAAAUUAGAGUGUUCAAAGCAGGCCUUUGCUCGAAUACAUUAGCAUGGAAUAAUAGAAUAGGACGUGUGGUUCUAUUUUGUUGGUUUCCAGGACCGCCG